rnacentral:rRNA from 1 species
UACGUAGGGUGCGAGUCGUUGUCCGGAUUUAUUGGGCGUAAAGAGCUCGUAGGCGGUUUGUCGCGUCGGCCGUGAAAUCUCCACGCUUAACGUGGAGCGUGCGGUCGAUACGGGCAGACUUGAGUUCGGUAGGGGAGACUGGAAUUCCUGGUGUAGCGGUGAAAUGCGCAGAUAUCAGGAGGAACACCGGUGGCGAAGGCGGGUCUCUGGGCCGAUACUGACGCUGAGGAGCGAAAGCGUGGGGAGCGAACAGG